rnacentral:rRNA from 1 species
GACGAACGCUGGCGGCGCGCCUAACACAUGCAAGUCGAACGGAGCUGAGAGAAGCUUGCUUUUCCUAGCUUAGUGGCGAACGGGUGAGUAACGCGUGAGUAACCUGCCCUGGAGUGGGGGACAACAGUUGGAAACGACUGCUAAUACCGCAUAAGCCCACGAUCCGGCAUCGGAUUGAGGGAAAAGGAUUUAUUCGCUUCAGGAUGGACUCGCGUCCAAUUAGCUAGUUGGUGAGGUAACGGCCCACCAAGGCGACGAUUGGUAGCCGGACUGAGAGGUUGAACGGCCACAUUGGGACUGAGACACGGCCCAGACUCCUACGGGAGGCAGCAGUGGGGGAUAUUGCACAAUGGGGGAAACCCUGAUGCAGCGACGCCGCGUGGAGGAAGAAGGUUUUCGGAUUGUAAACUCCUGUCGUUAGGGACGAUAAUGACGGUACCUAACAAGAAAGCACCGGCUAACUACGUG